rnacentral:rRNA from 1 species
GGAUUUUUCCAUUGGUCAGGCUUAACUGUCUGUACUGGUGUGAUGAAUUCCUACCUUCUGAGGAAUCUCCAUGCCAUUCACUUGGUGUGGUGGGGAAUCAGGACUGUUACUUUGAAAAAAUUAGAGUGUUUAAAGCAGGCUAACGUCUGAAUACAUUAGCAUGGAAUAAUAGAAUAGGAC